AUUGAACGCUGGCGGCAUGCUUUACACAUGCAAGUCGAACGGCAGCGCGGGCUUCGGCCUGGCGGCGAGUGGCGAACGGGUGAGUAAUACAUCGGAACGUGCCCAGUAGUGGGGGAUAGCUCGGCGAAAGCCGGAUUAAUACCGCAUACGACCUGAGGGUGAAAGCGGGGGAUCUUCGGACCUCGCGCUAUUGGAGCGGCCGAUGGCAGAUUAGCUAGUUGGUGGGGUAAAGGCCUACCAAGGCGACGAUCUGUAGCUGGUCUGAGAGGACGACCAGCCACACUGGGACUGAGACACGGCCCAGACUCCUACGGGAGGCAGCAGUGGGGAAUUUUGGACAAUGGGCGAAAGCCUGAACCAGCAAUGCCGCGUGUGUGAUGAAGGCCUUCGGGUUGUAAAGCACUUUUGGCGGGAACGAAAAGGACUGUGCCAAUACCACGGUUCGAUGACGGUACCCGCAGAAUAAGCACCGGCUAACUACGUG
rnacentral:rRNA from 1 species